rnacentral:rRNA from 1 species
AGCGAACGCUGGCGGCAGGCCUAACACAUGCAAGUCGAACGAACCUUUCGGGGUUAGUGGCGGACGGGUGAGUAACACGUGGGAACGUGCCCUUAGGUUCGGAAUAACUCAGGGAAACUUGUGCUAAUACCGAAUGUGCCCUUCGGGGGAAAGAUUAAUCGCCUUUAGAGCGGCCCGCGUCCGAUUAGCUAGUUGGUUGAGGUAAUGGCUCACCAAGGCGACGAUCAGUAGCUGGUCUGAGAGGAUGAUCAGCCACAUUGGGACUGAGACACGGCCCAAACUCCUACGGGAGGCAGCAGUGGGGAAUCUUGCGCAAUGGGCGAAAGCCUGACGCAGCCAUGCCGCGUGAAUGAUGAAGGUCUUAGGAUUGUAAAAUUCUUUCACCGGGGACGAUAAUGACGGUACCCGGAGAAGAAGCCCCGGCUAACUUCGUG